rnacentral:misc_RNA from 1 species
AAAAAAAGAAAAAAAGAAAAAUGGAGUUGAAUUUGAAGCCAAUGGAUCCUACACAGUUCUUUAAGGGAGAGGGUGGAUCCUUCCACAAAUGGUUCCCUUCUGAUUUUCCGAUGAUUGCUCAAACCAGAGUCGGCGCCGGCAGACUCCUUCUCCACCCACGUGGCUUUGCCGUUCCCCAUAACUCCGAUUCCUCCAAAGUUGGCUAUGUUCUUCAAGGUAGUGGAGUCGCCGGAAUUCUAUUUCCGGGGGAGUGUGACGAAGCAGUAGUCAGACUAAAGAAGGGAGACCUAAUUCCGGUGCCGGAGGGAGUCACCUCAUGGUGGUUCAACGACGGAGACUCUGAUUUCGAAGUCCUUCUCGUCGGCGACACCCGAAACGCCCUCAUUCCCGGCGACAUCACCUACGUUGUCUUCGCUGGACCCCUCGGAAUCCUACAAGGCUUCUCAUCGGACUACAUUGAGAAAGUCUUCAAUCUAAACGAAGAAGAAAAAGGCAUACUUCUCAAAAGCCAAACCAAUGGCCUAAUAUUCAAGCUCCAAGAUGACCAAACCCUACCAGAGCCCAACCAUCACACCAAUCUUGUUUUCAACAUAUACAACGCCGUUCCCAAUGCCGUAGUCAAUGACGGCGGGUCGGUCACCAUCGUAACGGAUAAGAAGUUUCCAUUCAUUGGGAAAUCUGGGUUGACUGCAGUUCUCGAGAAGCUUGAGCCCAAUGCCGUCCGGUCACCGGUGUAUGUUGCCGACCCGUCGGUGCAACUGAUAUAUGUCGCUAGCGGGUCGGGUCGGGUUCAAAUUGCUGAGACAUUUUUGCGUAACACAAUUGAUGCGGAGGUGAAAGCGGGCCAGUUGGUUUUGGUUCCGAAGUACUUCGCCGUCGGGAAGGUGUCCGGAGAAGAAGGCUUGGAGUGCUUCACUAUUAUCACUACCACACACCCUCUAUUGGAAGAGUUGGGAGGAAAGAAAUCAAUUUUUGGGACAUUUUCACCACAAGUUUUUCAAGCUUCAUUCAAUGUCACAGCUGAGUUUGAGAAGCUUCUCAGAUCAAAGAUAACAAAAACUUCACCCUUGGUUCCUCCUUCAGAUUGAACUAAUUAUGCUUAAUUCCCAUCAUAUAUAUUGUUCGACUCGACAUGUCGUUUUGGACUUUAUAUUAGUAAUUUGUGUUCUACAAAAUCAUGUUAUUAAUUU